rnacentral:rRNA from 1 species
GAUGAACGCUGGCGGCGUGCCUAAUACAUGCAAGUCGAGCGAAUGGAUCAAGAGCUUGCUCUUAUGGAGUUAGCGGCGGACGGGUGAGUAACACGUGGGUAACCUGCCCAUAAGACUGGGAUAACUCCGGGAAACCGGGGCUAAUACCGGAUAACAUUUUGAACCGCAUGGUUCGAAAUUGGAAGGCGGCUUCGGCUGUCACUUAUGGAUGGACCCGCGUCGCAUUAGCUAGUUGGUGAGGUAACGGCUCACCAAGGCAACGAGGCGUAGCCGACCUGGGAGGGUGAUCGGCCACACUGGGACUGAGACACGGCCCAGACUCCUACGGGAGGCAGCAGUAGGGAAUCUUCCGCAAUGGACGAAAGCCUGACGGAGCAACGCCGCGUGAGUGAUGAAGGCUUUCGGGUCGUAAAACUCUGUUGUUAGGGAAGAACAAGUGCUAGUUGAAUAAGCUGGCACCUUGACGGUACCUAACCAGAAAGCCACGGCUAACUACGUGCCAGCCGCCGCCGUAA